rnacentral:rRNA from 1 species
GACGAACGCUGGCGGCGUGCUUAACACAUGCAAGUCGAACGAAGUGGCGCACGGGUGAGUAACGCGUAAUCAACCUGCCCUUCAGAGGGGGACAACAGUUGGAAACGACUGCUAAUACCGCAUACUGAAGGCGGAGAUUGCGUCUGAUUAGCUGGUUGGAGGGGGAACGGCCCACCAAGGCGAUGAUCAGUAGCCGGUCUGGGAGGGUGGACGGCCACAUUGGGACUGAGACAACGCCCAGAAUCCUACGGGAGGGAGCAGGGGGGAAUCGUCCGAAAUGGACGAAAGGCUGACGGAGCAACGCCGCGUGAGUGAUGACGGCCUUCGGGUUGGAAAGCUCUGUUAAUCGGGACGCGGUACCGGAAUAGAAAGCCACGGCUAACUACGUGCCAGCAGCCGCGGUAAUUC